rnacentral:rRNA from 1 species
GUUGGGUAGGGGAGCGUUCUGUAAGCCUGUGAAGGUGGCCUGUGAGGGUUGCUGGAGGUAUCAGAAGUGCGAAUGCUGACAUAAGUAACGAUAAAGCGGGUGAAAAGCCCGCUCGCCGGAAGACCAAGGGUUCCUGUCCAACGUUAAUCGGGGCAGGGUGAGUCGACCCCUAAGGCGAGGCCGAAAGGCGUAGUCGAUGGGAAACAGGUUAAUAUUCCUGUACUUGGUGUUACUGCGAAGGGGGGACGGAGAAGGCUAUGUUGGCCGGGCGACGGUUGUCCCGGUUUAAGCGUGUAGGUGUGUGUUCCAGGUAAAUCCGGUUCACUUUAACACUGAGGCGUGAUGACGAGGCACUACGGUGCUGAAGCAACAAAUGCCCUGCUUCCAGGAAAAGCCUCUAAGCAUCAGGUAACAUCAAAUCGUACCCCAAACCGACACAGGUGGUCAGGUAGAGAAUACCAAGGCGCUUGA